GUCUACUGCUAUGCUACCCUGAACAAGCCCAAUCCCAUCUGAUCUCAGAAGCUAAGCAGGGUUGGCCUGGUUAGUACUUGGAUGGGAGACCACCUAGGAAGACCAGGU
rnacentral:rRNA from 1 species